AUUCUGUUGUGUUUAUUGUUUACUAGCGGUUAUCUGAUUCAUGGGAGGCAGACAUUGAUGAUGGGAGUUUCGCUGAUAAUGCCUUUUUUCUUGUUUGGGAGGUUUCUAAUAGUAGCUCUCCAUACAUGA
rfam:Citrus sinensis cultivar Ridge Pineapple sweet orange scaffold00016_contig_118, whole genome shotgun sequence.